CCCCCCCCAAGACAUCAAGGAUAAUGUUGUCUCUGAUUUCAUGUCUCACAAUGGAAGCAUACGUUGGUAAUAGCAACUAGUGCCCUGGAAUGGGAGUUAACAUACCCAACAUCAAAAAGGUUGUUAUUUUUGGAGAGGCAGAGAUCAUGGAAUCCUACCCUCAAGAAGUUGGAAUGGGUGGAAGGAAUGGUUCUGAUGUUUUGUCCAUGAAUGCAUACCACUUAUGUCUCUGUACGUGAUCCCACAAUGAGGGCAUUCGUCAAAAACAAAGUUUAAUGUACGCAUGUGGAAGUACUACAGUUUUUUAAUGGGAAGAUAAAAAACCUUCCAUACUGCAGAGUGCUGUGAUGUGUACAGUAAACAAUGUGAUUGUGGAGACUGCCCAGAAGAAAUGUUUAAGAUUUGAACUGAUCUUAACAACUGUCCAUGUACUUUAGGAAGGCAAGUUAACAUGGAUGAAAGAGGGACAUUCACAUAGGUGUUAAAGGGUUUAGCUGUGACCUGUAAAGCCAGGUGACAGGCUUGAAAGUGUUUGUGUUUAGGAUGUGUUUAAUGGUGCCAUUAUUUCAGAUUUAGCUGCAGACCUAGAGUAUUUAUUUACAGUUGCUUACAUUUUGAAAAUGAAAAGCUUGCUGCAAAUAUAUUGCUUGUUGUAGGUUAUUAUUUAAUGAUGUAGAAAAGACAACACACCUUAAAGAAAAGCACCAUUUUUUCCAAAACUUUCUUUUUCUCCAUAAUUCUGUCUAAUUGACCUAUCCAAGUCUCUAAGGAGCAAACUUGCACCUGUCAUGUACUGGGGCACCUUCCAGAUCAAGUAUAAGAACACAGACCCCUGAUUUUACAUUUCAGCUUUGUGCUCAAAGCUAUGAUUAGCCAUCUAAAGCGUCUGUUUCAUGGCCCAUGAGGAACGAUUGCACAGAUAGUACAAAAAUCUACUGUUGGCAUUAAACUCUGGUUCAAUGAUAAGGAAGGAGACAAAAGAGCCACCAGAAGUCAGAACUUUAUUGAGGAGAACACCAUGCCAAAGAAGGAUAAGAGUCUUCACAAAAUUGGAGACAAAUGUUGUUUCUUUCUGUCUUUCAAGAACAACCCCAAAUUGUCAAACAGAGUAGUCCAGUGCCUGGAGUAGUCCAGUCCCUGGAAGAGGGAAAAGAGAAAAGCUGUAGUUACAUUAUACAGUUCCAAGAAGAUGGCAAUGAUGAAUUUGGAAUUGUGCAGUACUACUUUUAUGCCAGGAACACUGGGUGUGCUUUCAUUCACAAGUUUGAAAAGGAAGAAAACAUCUGUUCAUGAGAGCUUGAUGAUCCAGGAUGAUCCAAUGAUUAAGUCAUUUAUUGACAAGGGUAUUCUUUGAAAGCACUUUCAGGCUGUAAAGGAGACUUCGCCAGAUACUUGUAUUCCUUGCAGAUGUGCGUUUGUAUCUUCAAAAAGACCUGGUGUAAGUGGCUAUUAUGCCUGUUUUAAAGUACUACCAACAUGACUAAGCUACAGAAAUGACUUCGACAUUACCUCCCAAAAUUGCCCUCUGAAAAUAUUUAGGGUAUAGGACCAGAAGAAUUGGUUGUUUUGUAUUCUCUAUUUUGUUUUGUUUGGAAUUGACAUUUGUUACGAUUUUUGUUUUAUUAGUCACAUAGUAUUUACUGUUCCAGGAUGUUCUGGCAUUGACCAAGGUAAAUAAUUUUCCUUCUCCCAAACCUAAGUUAAAUGGCAUUAAUAAAUAUAUAUAAGUUUGAAAUUUGACGAGCUAAUUGAUGAGCUUUUAUCAUUCAGUAGAUUAUUUCUGAAUUCACAGGAGUUAGAAAGAGAAAAAGGGAAUCAGCAGAAAAUUCCGGGCUACUUGCAUGGGGCUUGGGUUCAUUGGUGAUGCCCAAGACACCCAAAGUACAACAGAGUGGACUAUCAUUCUGCCGGGACUGAAGUUGUAACAGACUUGGAAGAUGAUCUCUUCUUUCUUGAUGGUGAGUGAGCAACUAAUUGUCAGCGUAAAUAUAUUAUAUUUUGUGAUUAAGUUCAGGUUUAAGGCAAUUAAUCCACAAAGUUGCCAUACUUUUUUUUCUCUGUUGAUUAUUAACUGACACUUUAAAACAUGUUUGACACGCAAGCCCAAACAAUAAGUCCACAGCCGCACUGCAACAAAGAUGACUGCAGCUGUGACGAGGCGAGCAUUUUCAUCACCCCUAUACCGCGUGGCUUUAAGGGACUAACAUCCCUGCAACCUGACGACUGCGCAAUCUCAGACCAACUCCUUCGCAGUUGCACCACUCGAAAACGCAAGCUGGAGCUAGACGAUUAAAUUGUUUAUAGAGAGAAUUGAAGGAGUGGCACUGCAAGCAAGGGUGGUAAUCAAAAAUGAAAAGAUCUGCUGAAAUGACACUGAAAAGAUUAACAAAGUCCAAGAAAAAGAAAAAGGAAAGUUGGCUACAAAAAAAAUAAAGAAAGAUCCAAUACUAUAAGAUGGAGCUUUUGGAAAGCAAAAACACCUUUAACCACAGUUCUUUUUUUAUUAACAUAAAAUCAAAUUCUGUAAUUUCAAUAAUUUUCUUUGGUACAAUCAAAGGUUGUUGUUUCACUGAGUCUCUGCCAGACAUUUCAAACAUUGGACUGAGUCAGUGACAAGUUGUUUCCUUGGCAAACUUCAAUUUCCUUGGGAAACCAAAGUAGAAGAAAGAACAUUUCUGCAAAAGUUAGAGAGUAAGUCUUAAAGAAGAAGGCAGUACAGAUAGAUAAGAAACUGACACCCAAUGAAGGUGGACAUUUCAUCAAUUCUGACAAUUUAUCAGUCUUUGAAGUGUUUUGUAACCAAAGCACAGCCUUUGGCAGUGGACAGUGUUUCGGAAGAGACAGGAUGGCUCAGUAGGUUUCUACCUCAACUGGAAUGACUACAAUUGUGGCGUUGGUAAUCUGAGUGGUGAAAUUUUGAUCAACCUGGGCAAGAUUUAAGGCCUGACCUUAAAUAAUGAUAGCAUGCCCUUUCUGAUAUAGAAGACAUACCCGGCCCAUGAAUACUUCAUAUUCUAUAAGAGCAAAUUUAUCAGAGACUGGAAGAUGCUCAUUUGUGGCAGUCCCACUGGUUGACCAAUCAUUGCCCUAGACUUGAGUUGUUUCUCCUGUUGUAGUACUUUUGAUUUUUAAUGAUUUACUUUUGGGUUUUUCAGGUUUGGUGGUAAUUGCGGUUUGCGAAUCUCUCUUCUUAUACAAGGAGCAGCUCUCAGAUGUCUAGAGUAAUCUACAAAGCCUUUUGCCUGGACUGCAGUGCUAUAUUGGCAAAAAAAGAACCUACUAGAUCAGAUGAGAGCUUACCAGAGCACCUGAGAGACCUCUACAUCUAAAGCAUCGCCAAAGGCAUCAAUUAUAUAACCUCCUGCCAAAUUUCAAGACAUCUCUAGAGGACCUCAUGGUCUGGACUGGGCAGGUGUUACCAAACACAAACUGAGUACAGGUGAUGCCUUUUUCUUGAAUGUCAGCACCCUAAGAGACUACCCUUUGCAAAGGGUGAUAUGGCUUUCAAAGCUGUUGAGGAGAUGCAUACAUUCACAAGGCAUAAUUGAACCCUGUGCCAGUCCCUGCGUUUUAUCAGUGGUCAUGGUGAAGAAAAAGGAUGGCAGAAACAGAUUUUGCAUUGACUACCGAAAGUUAAAUGACCGACAAAGGAGUCGUAUUGUUUGCAAUUAAGGAGAGCCAUUAAAUUUCCCAACACACCGGUUCAACUCCAGAAGCUGUUUGCUUUCAUACCCACAUGGUCCAUUGGAGCAUAUCACUGAAGAUUUUCAAGAGACCUGAUUUGUGAUGUAUUUUCAUUUUUGUAACAUUUAUGUAUAGCUAUGGAAGUGCUUCUGCAGGACUUUUAAAAAUCAGCUGUAAAUAUGUAGUUUUAUCGUCUUCAAAACUCUUGAUGUACGAUGACACAGAUAUUGAGUAAAUAUUAAUUUAUGCAUUCAUAA